ACUUUGGAUAAUGACAAUGAAAUCAUUCUUUUUUAGUCAAGCACAUACAAGUUUGAUAUUACUAAUGAAAGUUCUAUUUUUUCUAUUUUUUUGGCUGUGUAUACAUCCAAAAUGUAAGGUUUCAUAAAGCUCAGCGAAAUGGUUGUUGAACUGAAGAACAAACCAGGGGAAGGUGGAGAGAACAGGGUACCCGUCUCGGUCAACAGAGCAAAAGAAUGGUGCAAAGUGUGAACAUGAUCUACUGCCAAGAAAAAAAGCAAACAAGAGAAGCACAAACACACUGUAGCACAAUUUAUGUGUUUGCUGCUACUUUUUCCCAUUUGACGGAGGAAGAUGGAGAUGGGGCUAUAAGAUGUUGACUGUCAUUGCCCUUCCAAACAUGUCGUUGGUGUCAGA